rnacentral:sRNA from 1 species
CUGAGCUCAUUCUUUUCAGUAAAUUCUCUCUCUGCGUGGUGAGAAAACAGGCCUGGAGAGGCUCUGCGACCCGCUUAGGACCACAGAACUCGGUACUAGGAAAACUCCUAUUUUAAAAUCCAGCCCUGAGUGGGAAGAUUUGGGAAGAAUCGUUAAUAUUGAGAGAGAGAGGGAGAAAGAGGAUUAGGUGAGAGUGGCGCCCCCGCUCAUGUCCGCCCCCUCCCCGCAGAGAAUUACGUGUACCAGGGACGGCAGGAAUGCUACGCGUUUAAUGGGACACAGCGCUACCUGGAGAGAUACAUCUACAACCGGGAGGAGUACGCGCGCUUCGACAGCGACGUGGGGGAGUUCCGGGCGGUGACGGAGCUGGGGCGGCCUGCUGCGGAGUACUGGAACAGCCAGAAGGACCUCCUGGAGGAGAAGCGGGCAGUGCCGGACAGGAUGUGCAGACACAACUACGAGCUGAACGAGGCCGUGACCCUGCAGCGCCGAGUCCAGCCUAAGGUGAACGUUUCCCCCUCCAAGAAGGGGCCCCUGCAGCACCACAACCUGCUUGUCUGCCACGUGACAGAUUUCUACCCAGGCAGCAUUCAAGUCCGAUGGUUCCUGAAUGGACAGGAGGAAACAGCUGGGGUCGUGUCCACCAACCUGAUCCGUAAUGGAGACUGGACCUUCCAGAUCCUGGUGAUGCUGGAAAUGACCCCCCAGCAGGGAGACGUCUACAUCUGCCAAGUGGAGCACACCAGCCUGGACAGUCCUGUCACCGUGGAGUGGA